GGACUUCGCCUCCCCGCGCCAGCAUCCAGGGGCGAGGUUCUCCACUCCUAUCCCUGUGACGCAGGCCGAGACCCCUCCCCUCCGGCCUUGGCUCCACAUUCUGCCCCAUCUCAUCAGUCUUGGCUCUGGUCUCCCUGCCCAGUGCCGCGCUGGACUGGGCCUUGGCCUGGGCCAGGUGGUCGUUUCUGCUCUACUUCUCCAAGUAAGGCCCCUCCUCCUGGUUCUCCGGGUUCCAGAGAGGGACAGGAAGUGUCAGCACCCGCCUCCUCCAGCAAGAAAGUGCCAUCAGAGGAGGGGCCUGGAAAGUCAGAGGAGCCAGGGACUAAUGACUAUGUGAGCAGAGGUAGGAGGGCAAGAGGGUAGGCGAUACGGAUGCGGAAUGGGCCAAGUAUGCCAUAAAGAUCGUGGCAGUUGUGGGAAAGACUAGCCGACUUCUGAGGAGGAAGAGGUGCUGGAACAGUUGCCAGCGUCUAUGAUCCUCUUGUGGCUGCUGGUCAUGCUGGGAUUGAGUCCCAAGCCCUUGUGCUGGCCACAGAGCUGACAACAUAAGAACCAACCCUGCCCUGUGUUGGAAAGCAGGAAGAGGACAGCUGACCUCCAGCCCCCCAAGUCCAGACCCCACUGUAUCUGGAGGUUCCAACAGGAGAAGUUCAGUUGUAUGAGCUCACACAGGCCCUGAGAUGUUAAGGCACCAGGGUACCGGCCCUACUUCUCAGAAGGGUGCUCUCAGGUAUAUCACAGGGUUGGACUCAAGGCCCCUUAGUAGUCUUUUCCUCUGCAGGGAGUCAGGCCAGGAAUUCAGGACAAAUCAAAGACUUCUAGUAGCACCUAUUUUGUGGCAAUUCCAAGUUUUGGUUUUUUUUUCCCCUUAAUAAGACAGCCUGUUGCUUUAUUUAGGUUUUUGUACAAUUCAGCAGUGGAGAGAAAAGGGCCAACAACAGACACUUGCUGUAGGCUGUAGAGUAAACCAUCUUUAUUUCUUUUGGUUAAAAACAAUGGAUUUGAAUCUGGCAUUUCUGUGUACGUCUCAUUCCGUAUGUACAGUACAUUGAUGAUGUACACCUAGCAGUAAAAACAAAUAUCAGAAAGGAAAACACACUGAAAAAGUGGCUUCAACAAAGGUGGCUGUGCAGGGCAGGCCAUGCACCAAGCACAGGUGGCUCAGUAGAAGCAGACAGUAUGCAGAAAGGCCCGGCCACUCUUCUCCUCGAACUCCUGCAGCAGCUCGUCGAUUUCAUUCUCCAUGUCCUCAGUGUGCUGGAUCUGGGAAAAGCACAGCCUUGAGUGAACCCGGGCAUUGUGACACACCUUCCCUGACCCUGUCCUCCACUGCUUCUUCACUUCUGCAGGGAACCAGGCUUCAGGAUAGCUUCCUCAGUCCUAACAGCUUGUUCCUACCAGACAUAUACAACAUAUCACAGGAGUACCCCAUAUUGGGAGUGGGACAGCUAGAUUCAAAGGGAGUUCCAGCCCCAAGGCUGGAACUCAGGUUCUGUUCUCAGGCAUCAUAGGUACAUGAAAGCCUCACCAACCAGUGCUACCCCAAAUUUGCAAUGAGUGAAGUGAGGCACACAAAGAUACCGGCAUUUUCCUACAAUUGUCCAGUGUAGAUGCUGACUAUGCUUUGUGCACUGCAGUGUAUUAACAUCACAUCUGGCCUCUACCCUCCAGACACCAAUAGCUUCUCCUGGUUGUGAAAACUUAAAAGGUGACAAGGCAUUGCCAGUAGUAGUCCCUUGAAUAAUUUAAGUAAAGAAGGCUGGAUGUUAAACACACUGUUCUGGCAUGGCUACACAGUCUCCUUGGUCCCAGCCCUUUCUCCAGAUCAUCAGCCAGACCACAAGGUCAACUGAUGGAGCUUCAAUAACACUAAGAGUGAAAGCAGUGUGGAGUUUAGCAGGAGUUUGGAUCCCCCACACGAACUUCCCCAUCAGCCUUCACCUGGUAAGCCAAAAGGACAUCAAUUCUGCCACAGUCAGCUAAUCACAGUUCUUAAGGGCAAAAGUCAGGGAAAGGGGCUGGAGAGAUGGCUCAGUGGUUAAGACUGACUGCUCUUCCAGAGGUCCUGAGUUCAAUUCCCAGCAACCAAAUGGUGGCUUACAACCAUCUGUAAUGAGAUCUGACGCCCUCUUCUGAUGUGUCUGAAAACAGUAACAGUGUAUUUACAUAUAAUAAAUAAAUCUUUUUUUUUUUAAAGUCA
ensembl:antisense 1500002C15Rik RIKEN cDNA 1500002C15 gene